ACAGCUUAAUGGUUGGUACAUGGU
rnacentral:miRNA from 1 species